GAACUCAGGGACUCAGAGUGAUGGCGAGGAGAAGCAGCCCGGCCUGGUGAUGGAGCGCGCUCUGCUCAGUGAUGAGAGUGAGUUGGGUGGGAGAGGGUGGGGCUGGCAGGAGGGGUGGGGAAGGGGGGUCAGGGUCAUGGGAGGCUGGGCAGGCCACUGCCCUGAGGCGGGGUACAGAUCCAUGGGCACCCACGGAGAAAGGGGGUGGAAGGGCUGUGGCUAGCCGCCCCAAGGGCCUCAGUGGGCCUCUGUUCCCACCCGGCCUGCAGGAGUCCUGAAGGAAAUCCAGAGCACACUGGAGGGAGACCGCGGGUGAGGCACCGCCCAGGCCAGCUGGGGUGGGCCCGAGGCUCUGCCAGAGGGCUCAGGGGAGCGCUGAGAGUGGAGGUCCCUGAGGUCAUGAUUCCCCUGUCUUUGCCUGUGCAGGAGCGGCAGCUGGCGUUCACAUCGAGCGGCCGUGGGGUGCAGCCUCAGCAAUGGCGGAG
rnacentral:sRNA from 1 species